rnacentral:rRNA from 1 species
GACGAACGCUGGCGGCGUGCUUAACACAUGCAAGUCGAACAAUGAAGCCUUUCGGGGUGGAUUAGUGGCGAACGGGUGAGUAACACGUGGGCAAUCUGCCCUUCACUCUGGGACAAGCCCUGGAAACGGGGUCUAAUACCGGAUAACACUCUUCCCUGCAUGGGGAGGGGUUAAAAGCUCCGGCGGUGAAGGAUGAGCCCGCGGCCUAUCAGCUUGUUGGUGGGGUAAUGGCCUACCAAGGCGACGGACGGGUAGCCGGCCUGAGAGGGCGACCGGCCACCACUGGGACUGAGACACGGCCCAGACUCCUACGGGAGGCAGCAGUGGGGAAUAUUGCACAAUGGGCGAAAGCCUGAUGCAGCGACGCCGCGUG